GGGGAAGGGGAGAGUGAGAAAGCGCGAUGGAAAAUGUAAGCGCGAAUGGGCUGGGAACGUGUGGGUCGGAGUCUGCUCGGGUGCUCCAGUGCACACUGGGUUUUGAUCCAUCCGCGAUCUAAGCAGUAUAAAACGUCAGCAUUGCCGAACUGACAAUCGCGCGGAGUACUCGUGCUUGGGUCAUUUUAUUACCCGCAUUAUUAUCAUUAUUAUUACGUCGUAACAAUAAUCAUUUUUACUUACGAUUAUUAUUAAUUUAUCCCCACCGUUCGAACUGUCGUUAGUUGACACGAUGUCAUUUGCAUUUUUCGAGUGCCCGACCAUCAUCAGCUAACUUUGAAGUGUUUGUUUACAUUUUGUGGAACUGUGACAUUUUUUUUGUUGUUGUUUUAUUUGUGCUUAAGGACGCAUCCCUCCUAUCGGGGGAGCAUUAAAAAUCAGCCAAAAUUAACGCCGCAAUUAUGAACUCUUAUUUUGAACAGAGUGGCUUCUACGGAAGCCACCACCACCAGGGCACAGGCUCGGUUACGGGGGCUCAUCAUCAUGAUCCUGCUGCUGCGGCGGCAGCCUACAGAUCAUUCCCUUUAAGUUUGGGAAUGUCGCCUUAUGCAUCCACUCAGCAUCACCACGCAGCACAUUCCUUACACCAAACCAGACCUCCACAAGAUUCUCCGUAUGAUGCUUCAGUAGCAGCCACAUGCAAACUAUAUUCUACCACAGACGGGCAGCAAAAUAGCUACAGUAAUCCCACGGGCAAAUCAGAUUGUUCGAAAGGUAACGUGGAUCAGAAUGGGUAUGCGGCUGUGGUAGCGGCAUCAGAGGCAGUGAAAAAUGCAUGGCAAAAUGCUACUUCGGGCACGGGUGCUAAUUUGGCAAACAGUUUAGCUGGACCCGUACGUCCAUCCGCGUGCACUCCUGAUUCUAGAGUCGGUUAUGGAUCAUCCGGGUUGAUCGGCGGAGAUCCCUCCACGAGUCCCGGAGCGGCUUCUGGUACCAGGACGUCAAAUUCCCUGUCUUCUUGGAAUAAUCCGUGUUCAUUAAAUACUUCUUCAUCGCAACCAGUUGGGACGCAGAUUCAUCAGCAGACGAACCACACUUUUUAUCCUUGGAUGGCGAUAGCAGGAUACUAUAAAGGUGCUAACGGGUUAAGGAGGCGCGGCCGUCAAACGUACACCAGGUACCAGACGUUAGAGCUCGAGAAGGAAUUCCACACCAACCACUACCUGACUAGGCGGAGAAGGAUAGAAAUGGCGCACGCGCUUUGCCUGACAGAGAGACAAAUUAAAAUAUGGUUUCAAAAUAGGCGGAUGAAGCUCAAAAAAGAAAUACAGGCAAUAAAAGAACUAAACGAACAAGAGAAACAAGCGCAAGCGCAAAAAGCGGCGGCCGCGGCAGCUGUAGUUGCACAGCAGGUGGAUCAAAACUAGUUAAUUGCCCCCCUCCCUCUCUCCAGUGAUAAUGGCGGGAUGUACGGCUGCUGAGUUCAUUUACUGAUAAGAUUAUUUAUGAACAAAGGAUUUCGAGAGCUACACCCCCAGUCAACUGCCUCGAAACAAAGGAAUUCCAGAAAUGAAACACAAAUACGUAAUUUAUGGGACAAAAGUUUAAACUGUGAACAUGUGUAUACUAUUAAAGUUAAGGAUUAUGACUUAAGUAUAGUGUAAAUUUUAUAAAUUAUUUUUAGCUAAUUAGACUUUAUUAGGUUAAAAACUGCAGAAUUGUAGAUCCAAUAUUUAAGGAAAUUAAUUUAGAGAGUAAAAAGCCAUUAAAUAUCACUAAAGAACGAUAAUUUAAAGUUAUUGCUUGCAACAAAAUUAUAUGUCCAGUAAAUUUAUUUUAAACGCUGUUUUCACACACUAUAUAAAUUAUCAAAGAAAGUUGAUAUAUCAAAAAUCACUUAUAUUAAUGCGCAUUAAU
rnacentral:misc_RNA from 1 species